rnacentral:misc_RNA from 1 species
GAUGAAGAACGUAGCGAAAUGCGAUACGUAGUGUGAAUUGCAGAAUUCAGUGAAUCAUCGAAUCUUUGAACGCACAUUGCGCCCGCCAGUAUUCUGGCGGGCAUGCCUGUUCGAGCGUCAUUACAACCCUCAGGCCCCCGGGCCUGGCGUUGGGGAUCGGCGGAAGCCCCCUGCGGGCACAACGCCGUCCCCCAAAUACAGUGGCGGUCCCGCCGCAGCUUCCAUUGCGUAGUAGCUAACACCUCGCAACUGGAGAGCGGCGCGGCCACGCCGUAAAACACCCAACUUCUGAAUGUUGACCUCGAAUCAGGUAGGAAUACCCGCUGAACUUAAGCAUAUCAAUAAGCGGAGGA